GCCCAAGAGAUCGGGAUAACACCUGGAAACAGAUGCUAAUACCGGAUAACAACAGAUGAUGCCUAUCAACUGUUUAAAAGAUGGUUCUGCUAUCACUCUUGGAUGGACCUGCGGUGCAUUAGCUAGUUGGUAGGGUAACGGCCUACCAAGGCGAUGAUGCAUAGCCGAGUUGAGAGACUGAUCGGCCACACUGUGACUGAGACACGGCCCAAACUCCUACGGGAGGCAGCAGCG
rnacentral:rRNA from 1 species